GCCCACAGUGGCUAGAGGGGGCAGGUUAGGGGAGCAGAAGGCGGCAAACCUCCGAGCGUCCACCUUGGUUGUCCGAUUGCCCCGGAAGAGCUGAUUCUGGAAGAACAGGCAGACCUGUGGAGGACAAGACAGCAAGCAGCUCAGAGCGAGCGCCCAUGACAUCCUCCAUCACUCCCCAGCCCAGUAGCAUCCACAUACCAAACCUUGACAGUCACCUUCCCAGGUCACCUUCCUGCCAACACCACCAAGUGAAGACCCAAGUCCCCUGGGGCCCCGGGAGCCUGGCAUUGAACACACAAAUGACUGCAGGAGGCACAGGCUGGCUGCUCGGCCAGCACCUCUCCACUGGGAACAGCUAAAGACAAAGCGACUCCCAGCCUGGCCUGUGAGAGACAGGCCGGUGUCAUCUUCCUGUUCUGCCAGGUGAGACAAGGAGCCCAUGAAGAAGGACACAACGGACUCCAAGCCUAAGGCCAGCCGCACAUCAUCCCUGCCACGGAGCCUGGAAGAAGGUUCACUCACGGCAGCACCAGCGUAUCCUCGGGCAGGCUGUGGGCCUGUGCAUACUCUUCAUCGUGGAACAUGUGAAGUGUCUUCAGGACGGCAGCCAGGCC
rnacentral:lncRNA from 1 species